ACUGCGAUCCUCAGCUCCGCCACCGCCCGCCCGCGCGCGCUCGACACCGCCCAGGCCCCACCCCCGACGCGGGCCCGCCCCCAAACCCGCCCUUUCCCCGCCCCCGACACGCAAAGGCCCUGCCUCAUACUCCUAAAACUCCGCCCAGAUCUCUGGGCAAGGCGUGGUCUAGGGUGACCCCCAUGAAAGGAUCAUUGAACCCCACAAUGGGAGCUGAAAUGACACACAGGUUGAAAACCAUAGUCCUAGAGUCAGGCACAGGAGGGACUCUGUAAAAAGGUGGGACCAGAUGUCCUGGAGCCAGCUGCCUUCUCCCUCCUGUUAUUUCAGCAUCUGCAUCUGCACAGGCUGCCAUCCCUCCCGCCACAAACUCUGAGUGUUAUUUCCUCCUUCUGGAAAGUUCCUUACCAUCAAGUUCAGACAUCAUUUUCCUAGGGAAA
rnacentral:lncRNA from 1 species